rnacentral:rRNA from 1 species
AUGUCGUAACAAGGUUUCCGUAGGUGGACCUGCGGAAGGAUCAUUAUUGAGCUUAGGGUCCUCUGGGCCCCAUCUCCAACCCUUGUCUACCACGUCGCCCCCGCGCUUCUGCCGGGGUGGCUUUGAAAAUUUCUUUUUAAAUUCUUCAACCUUGAUUUCCUACGGGAGAAUACCAAUUAAUUAAAACUUUCAACAACGGAUCUCUUGGUUCUGGCAUCGAUGAAGAACGCAGCGAAAUGCGAUAAGUAAUGCGAAUUGCAGAAUUCCGUGAGUCAUCGAAUCUUUGAACGCACAUUGCGCCCUUUGGUAUUCCGAAGGGCAUGCCUGUUCGAGCGUCAUUAUUAACCCUCAAGCCCGGCUUGCUGUUGGGUCCCACCGUUGGCGACGGCGGUGGACCCGAAAGAUUAUGGCAGAGUCCGCGAGACCCUGGAUGCAGCGAGCUUCUCAGCACGCAUCCUGACGGGCCCGUGGCUCCGUCUUCACCAACAUUUCUUCUGGUUGACCUCGGAUCAGGUAGGGAUACCCGCUGAACUUAAGCAUAUCAAUAAGCGGAGGAAAAGAAACCAACAGGGAUUGCCUCAGUAACGGCGAGUGAAGCGGCAACAGCUCAAAUUUGAAAUCUGGCUCCUCUCGGGGUCCGAGUUGUAAUUUGUAGAGGAUGCUUCGGGCAAGGUCGCGGUCUAAUUUGCUUGGAACAGCGAGUCACAGAGGGUGAGAAUCCCGUCGAGCACCGCGCACCGCGUCCAUGUGAAGCUCCUUCGACGAGUCGAGUUGUUUGGGAAUGCAGCUCUAAAUGGGUGGUAAAUUUCAUCUAAAGCUAAAUAUUGGCCAGAGACCGAUAGCGCACAAGUAGAGUGAUCGAAAGAUGAAAAGCACUUUGAAAAGAGAGUUAAACAGUAUGUGAAAUUGUUGAAAGGGAAGCGCUUGCAACCAGACUUGCGUGUGACGGUUCCCCCCACCUUCUGGUGGGGCUACUCCGUCAUCUCCAGGCCAGCAUCGGUUUGGGUGGUCGGUCAAAGACUCCGGGAAUGUAUCUACCUCCGGGUCGACUUAUAGCCCGGGGUGCAAUGCGGCCCACUCGGACCGAGGAACGCGCUUCGGCUCGGAUGCUGGCGUAAUGGUUGUAAGCGGCC